rnacentral:lncRNA from 1 species
CACAGCACGUACUGAUCUUAACGGACUGUCAAUGCCCAAUUGGCAAUCCUAUGAUCAGGAACGUUGAGGAUGUGUCUACGAAAGAAUGGUCUCAUGAAUCUAACUUCUUUAGAUUGCAUUCUCCCAAUCACAUAUUCCUUGGACUUAUCGUUUAAGCAUCUAACAUUUAUAUGAGACGGCUUAAAACAAUAAUCUUUGCCCUUGAUAUUAAACUAGAUUAGUUUAACAUGUGAAAUGUCCGUAAAGUAUCAUCAUAUGAUUGGUUUUAGGGCACAUUUCCAACAAAAUGAACGUCUUAUGGGGUGAAGCAGUAGCACAAAUGAAAUACCUUUCCAUCAAGAAUAAAUGACAUGCCCCGAUCCUGAUAUUCCCCAAAUACCAGGAUAGGCAAGUGCUGGCUGACACCCGAGGGUGACAAAAGCCAUUUAUUGAGUGCAAAUGCUAAAAACAAGGGAUAAAUAAGACUUGGAAAUAUAAAAGAAUAAUGAAUAUGCAUUUAAGAAACGUGCUCAAAGCAUACAACUAACCAGAAUACUAAAAGAAAUAAUAUAAAAUUGAAUGACCAAAAGAGUAGGUCCUACACUAAGAGGACUCGAAGAUGCCGUUGUAGAAGUGCCUUGAUACCGGGAUUGUAUGCCUCGAUUAUAAGUCCUGAAUGGGGGUGCAAAACAAAGGUGAGUGGACCAAGUUUAUGUACAUACAUAAUACAAAAACAAUUAUAAACAUACUAGCCCCCAAAGUUUUAAUAAUGAAAACUACUAGCAUAAUAAAUGAUAGGUUUCUCUGAAAACCCUAGCAUGCCAUAAACAUCUCAAAAGACAUAUCGUGGAAAACAUUGCGGAAAUCAAAGCAUUAAUAGUCUCACAGAUCGUCUCGUAAGCGCGGUGUGUUGCCAGUAAAAUCACUGAAUAAUAAUACUCCCAACCCAAUGCAUGCACCUAAGUCUUUGUGCUCGUAGCCAGAAAUAACUCCUUCUCGACCCAACGCCUGUCUCCGUGUCCCUCAGCCUUUCGCUAGGGAUUAUUUCUCCCGGUCUAACUGCCAACACCAGAUCCUCACCCCAGGUGGCAUAGUGUCCACUAGGUACACACAAAUAGUUACGCCUACCAAGAAUAACCACUUCAUAGUAUAAAGUCAUCCAUCGUCUACACUAUAAAGAAGGGUUUCGAAAACAUGUUCCAGCCUCCUAUCGUCAUCCAUCAUAUAGUCUACCAGUUCAUAGUUUUUAUAGAAAAUAUGAUAUAUUAAAAUAUAGUUCAAUAUAGGCUAACAAUUAAUUCCUCACCAAAAACACGAGACGAAAAUCAACAUAUUCCAUAAACAUGCUUAACAUAAAAUCAGUUCAUAAACUCGUAAGGCAUGCUAUUCAUUUAUGCAAUUAAACUAUGAAAUCAUGUAAUUUUAGAAGGGGUCCACUCACCGUACACCGAUGGUGCAAAGUUGUACCAAAAAGGAAUAAUGGAAUCACCGUUACUAAUCGUACCUAUUCACAAAAAGAGGUACUUUUAGUCAAACUCUACUCAAACGAUUGAAUUUGGGAAAACGAACUUCAAAAACAGGUCCAGGACGUUGAAAUUAGCCUAGGAGAGGUCCCAGACGAAACUCUGAAAAGUCAACUUUAAAAGUUAAUGUUGACCGUUGACUGGUCAAAGUCAACGCUAACCGUUGACCGAGUCAAAAGUCAGAGUCAACGGUCAAAGGUCAACUAGGUUAAACGGGUCUGGGCUUAGUCCUAAGGCCCAAGGGUUUAGGGUUUAGCUAAUUAGGUGGGCUAGGCUUAGUCCUACGGCCCAAGGGUUUUGGGUCGAAGAAGGGCCGGGCCGAAGGCCCUAAUUAAAAUGGCCCAAGACAUUUUACUUUAAGAACUAAAUAAUUAAAAUUUAAAAUAAAUGUUUUGGGUUGGGUUUGGGUCUAACGGGCUUAAACCCAAGUUCUAAAAUGACCCAAAGGGCCUGGGUUCACUUGCUCUCACCGGGGAAGGAGGCCAGAGACCUCCCAACUCCGGUCGACGCCAUCCGUCAUCCUAGGCUCCGAUCUAGGUAUCAACAUGAAGAGGAAAAUGAGAUGAGUGAUUUGAUACCUUUGGUUCGCUGUGAAACGAUCGGUGGUGGUCAAAAAAUCCCUCGACACCCACGAGCUCGCGCGGAGACGAGUUUCGUUUUUCCCGAGUCGAUCUCAUGUUAAACCUUGUCAAUAACAAGUAUAAUGUUAAAAAAUCUCAUCCCAGCAUCAAACUAAGACAGAGAGAGAGAGAAUCCCAAGGCUUACCUAGUCGGGAAUACAAGGAAUCUCGCCGGAGGGUUUUUCUGGGCUUCUUCGCGCCUCGCAGCGACAAGAGAGAGAAAGAUGGCAAGAUGAUGAUGACGAUGAUGAUGUCGUUUACGUCAGGGAGGGU